UAAAAUACCAAUUCUUCAUUAUGUGAUCUUGCGGGACAUUGAUUCAGCUUCAGAAAUCAUUUUCCAGAAAUAUUUUUACCAGCUACUUUUAUUCUCAAAAUAUAAAAUGUGAGGCGCUCCCUUGCAUUCUAGCAGAACAACACCAUUGUUUGUUGGCCUCCAUUAAGCCAAUUUACUUCACCGUUGGCAAUUGAAAAACAUCAAAGAACAUGUUUUCAGAUCAAUUUAAACCAAGUAUGCUUGUUUGAUAUCCAGCUAGAGGUACUAUAUCAAACGCUAUUGUGCUUUCAAUUUUUACAUGAUCCGCUCAAUUCAGUAGACCUAGGGGGGUUUAAUGGUUGAGCAAGUCUCCGUUCAGUAGACCUAGGGGGGUAUAAUGGUUGAGCAAGUCUCCGUUCAGUAGGCCUAUGUGGGGUAUAAUGGUUGAGCAAGUCUCCGUUCAGUAGACCUAGGGGGGUUUAAUGGUUGAGCAAGGCUCCGUUCAGUAGACCUAGGGGGGUUUAAUGGUUGAGCAAGGCUCCGUUCAAUAGACCUAGGGGGGUUUAAUGGUUGAGCAAGGCUCCGUUCAGUAGGCCUAUGUGGGUUUAAUGGUUGAGCAAGGCUCCGUUCAGUAGGCCUAUGUGGGUUUAAUGGUUGAGCAAGGCUCCGUUCAGUAGGCCUAUUUGGGUUUAAUGGUUGAGCCUGGCUGUAUGAGAAUUAGUAGAAUGUGGUGACAAGGUCAUGGGCGGCAGGUAGCCUAGAGGUUAGAGCGUUGGGCUAGUAACCGAAAGGUUGCUGGUUUGAAUACCCGAGCUGACAGGUGUCCUUGAGCAAGGUACUUAACCCUAAUUUGCCAGGGUGGCAGGAAGCCUAGUGGUUAGAGCGUUGGGCCAGCAACCGUAAAGGUUGCUAGAUUGAAUCCCUGAGCAUUCUAGCAUCUUGUCCUGACAAAAUAGCCUGUUUACAUUGGGAAUGUUAUUUUUCCAAAAAUGAAAAUGCUGCCCCCUAGUUACAAGAAGUUUUUUGCCAUUUUGCCACAACGUUGGAAGUGUGCUUGGGGUCGUUGUCCAUUUGGAAGACCCAUUUGCGACCAAGCUUUAACUUCUUGACUGAUGUCUUCAGAUGUUGCUUCAAUAUAUCCACAUAACUUUCCUGCCUCAUGAUGCCAUCUAUUUUGUGAAGUGCACCAGUCCCUCCUGCAGCAAAGCACCGCCACAACGUGAUGCUGCCACCCCCGUACUUCACAGUUGGGAUGGUGUUCUUCGGCUUGCAAGCCUCCCCCUUUUUCCUCCAAACAUAAUGAUGGUCAUUAUGGCCAAACAGUUCUAUUUUUCUAUCAGACCAGAGGACAUUUCUCCAAAAAGUACGAUCUUUGUCUCCAUGUGCAGUUGCAAACUGUAGUCUGGCUUUUUUAUGGCGGUUUUGGAGCAGUGGCUUCUUCCUUGCUGAGCGGCCUUUCAGGUUAUGUCGAUAUAGGACUAGUUUUACUGUGGAUAUAGAUACUUUUGUACCUGUUUCCUCCAGCAUAUUCACAAGGUCAUUUGCUGUUUUUCUGGGAUUGAUUUGCACUUUUCGCACCAAAGUACGUUCAUCUCCAGGAGACAGAACGCGUCUCCUUCCUGAGGGGUAUGACGGCUGCGUGGUCCCAUGGUGUUUAUACUUGCGCACUAUUGUUUGUACAGAUGAACAUGGUACCUUCAGGUUGUUUGGAAAUUGCUCCCAAGGAUGAACCAGAUUUGUGGAGGUCUACAAUUUUUUUUCUGUGGUCUUAGCAGAUUUCUUUUGAUUUUCCCAUAAUGUCAAGCAAAGAGGCACUGAGUUUGAAGGUAGGCCUUGAAAUACUUUCACAGGUACACCUCCAAUUGACUCAAAUGAUGUCAAUUAGCCUAUCUUUUGCACACCAGUAUUUCUACUUGCACAUCAUCAUCUGCACAUCUAUCACUCCAGUGUUAAUUUGCUAAAUUGUAAUGACUUUGCUACUAUUGCCUAUUUAUUGCCUUACCUCCUCACGCCAUUUGCACACGCACACACUGGGUGCGUCACUUGAGUGAGUUGAGUCCCUGACGUGAUCUUCCUGUCUGGGUUGGCGCCCCCCCCUUGCGUUGUGCCGUGGCGGAGAUCUUUGUGGGCUAUACUCGGCCUUUUCUCAGGAUGGUAAGUUGGUGGUUGAAGAUAUCCCUCUAGUGCUGUGGGGGCUGUGCUUUGGCAAAGUGGGUGUGGUUAUAUCCUGCCUGUUUGGCCCUGUCCGGGGGUAUCAUCGGAUGGGGCCACAGUGUCUCCUGACCCCUCCUGUCUCAGCCUCCAGUAUUUAUGCUGCAGUAGUUUAUACGUCAGGGGACUAGGGUCAGUCUGUUAUAUCUGGAGUACUUCUCCUGCCUUAUCCGGUGUCCUGUGUGAAUUUAAGUAUGCUCUCUCUAAUUCUCUCUUUCUCUCUUUCUUUCUCUCUCUCGGAGGACCUGAGCCCUAGGACCAUGCCCCAGAACUAUAUGGCAUGAUGACUCCUUGCUGUCCCCAGUCCACCUGGCCAUGCUGCUGCUCCAGUUUCAACUGUUCUGCCUGCGGCUAUGGAACCCUGAUCUGUUCACCAGACGUGCUACCUGUCCUAGACCUGCUGUUUUCAACUCUCUAGAGUAGAGGUCGACCGAUUAUGAUGUUUCAACACCGAUACCAAUACCAAUUAUUGGAGGACCAAAAAAAGCCGAUACCGAUUAAUCGGAUGAUUUUUUAAAUUGAGUUGUAAUAAUGACAAUUACAACAAUACUGAAUGAACACUUAUUUUAACUUGAUAUAAUACAUCAAUAAAAUCUAUCUAGCCUCAAAUAAAUAAUGAAACAUGUUCAAUUUGGCUUAAAUAAUGCAAAAACAAAGUGUUGGAGAAGAAAGUAAAAGUGCAAUAUGUGCCAUGUAAGAAAGCUAACGUUUCAGUUCCUUGCUCAGAACAUGAGAACAUAUGAAAGCUGGUGGUUCCUUUUAACAUGAGUCUUCAAUAUUCCCAGGUAAGAAGUUUUAGGUUGUAGUUAUUCUAGGAAUUAUAGGACUAUUUCUCUCUAUACGAUUUGUAUAGAGAGACAUGACUAUUGGAUGUUCUUAUAGGCACUUUAGUAUUGCCAGUGUAACAGUAUAGCUUCCGCCCCUCUCCUCACCCCUACCUGGGCUCGAACCAGGAACACAUCGAUCACAGCCAUUCUCGCAGCAUCGUUACCCAUGCAGAGCCAGGGGAACAACUACUCCAAGUCUCAGAGCGAGUGACGUUUGAAACGCUAUUAGCGCACACCCGGCUAACUAGCUAGCCAUUUCACAUCGGUUACACCAGCCUAAUCUCGGGAGUUGAUAGGCUUGAAGUCAUAAACAGCUCAAUGCUUGAAGCACAAUGAAGAGCUGCUGGCAAAACGCACAAAAGUGGUGUUUGAAUGAAUGCUUACGAGCCUGCUGGUGCCUACCACUGCUCAGUCAGACUACUCUAUCAAAUAUCAAAUCAUAGACUUAAUUAUAACAUAUUAACACACAGAAAUACGAGGCUUAGGUCAUCAAUAUGGUCGAAUCCGGAAACUAUAAUCUCAAAAACAAGACAUUUAUUCUUUCAGUGAAAUACGGAACCAUUCUGUAUUUUAUCUAACGGGUGGCAUCCAUAAGUCUAAAUAUUCCUGUUACAUUGCACAACCUUCAAUGUUAUGUCAUAAUUACGUACAAUUCUGGCAAAUUAGGCAGCCCAAACUGUUGCAUAUACCCUGACUCUGCGUGCAAUAAACGCAAGAGAAGUGACACAAUUUCUCCUGGUUAAUAUUGCCUGCUAACCUUUCUUUUAGCUAAAUAUGCAGGUUUAAAAAUAUAUACCUCUGUGUAUUGAUUUUAACAAAGGCAUUGGUGUUUAUGGUUAGGUACACAUUGGAGCAAGGACAGUCCUUUUUCGCGAAUACGCACCGCUUCGAUUAUAUGCAACGCAGGACACGCUAGAUAAACUAGUAAUAUCAUCAACCAUGUGUAGUUAACUAGUGAUUAUGAUUGAUUGAUUGUUUUUUAUAAGAUAAGUUUAAUGCUAGCUAGCAACUUACCUUGGCUUACUGCAUUCGCGUAACAGGCAGGCUCCUCGUGGAGUGCAAUGAGAGGCAGGUGGUUAGAGCGUUAGACUAGUUAACUAUAAGGUUGCAAGAUUGAAUUCCCAAGCUGACAAGGUCGUUUUGCCCCUGAACAGGGCAGUUAACCCACCGUUCCUAGGCCGUCAUUGAAAAUAAGAAUGUGUUCUUAACUAACUUGCCUAGUUAAAUAAAGAUUAAAUAAAGGUGUAAAAAUAAAAUAAAAAUCGGCCAAAUCGGCGCCCAAAAAUAUCCUAAUUAAUCGGCCAUUCCAAUUAAUCGGUCAACCUCUACUCUAGAGACUAAAGGAGCGGUAGAGAUACUCUUAAUGAUCGGCUAUGAAAAGCCAACUGACAUUUACUCCUGAGGUGCUGACUUGCUGCACCCUCGACAACUACUGUGAUUAUUUUUAUUUGACCAUGCUGGUCAUUUAUGAACAUUUGAACAUCUUGGCCAUGUUCUGUUAUAAUCUCCACCCGGCACAGCCAGAAGAGGACUGGCCACCCCACAUAGCCUGGUUCCUCUCUAGGUUUCUUCCUAGGUUUUGGCCUUUCUAGGGAGUUUUUCCUAGCCACCGUGCUUCUACACCUGCAUUGCUUGCUGUUUGGGGUUUUAGGCUGGGUUUCUGUACAGCACUUUGAGAUAUCAGCUGAUGUACGAAGGGCUAUAUAAAUACAUUUGAUUUGUACAUAGACUUUUUCUAUUGUGUUAUUGACUUCGUUUGUUAAUUCCAUGUGUAACUCUGUGUUGUUGUUUGUGUCACACUGCUUUGCUUUUUCUUGGCCAGGUCGCAGUUGUAAAUGAGAACUUGUUCUCAACUGGCCAACCUGGUUAAAUAACAGUGAAAUUUAAAAAAUGAAUCAGAAGCUUCUAAAGCCAUAACAUAAUUUUCUGGAAUUUUCCAAGCUGUUUAAAGGCACAGUCAACUUAGUGUAUGUAAACUUCUGACCCACUGGAAUUGUGACACAGUGAAUUAUAAGUGAAAUAAUCUGUCUGUAAACAAUUGUUGGAAAAUGUACUUGUCAUGCACAAAGUAGAACUGACUUGCCAAAUCUAUAGUUUGUUAACAAGAAAUUUGUGGAGUGGUUGAAAAACGAGUUUUAAUGGCUCCAACCUAAGUGUAUGUAAACUUCCAACUUCAACUGUAUAUUUGGCCAACCUGGACUCGGGUAAAUGUAACACAGUAUGUUAUGUUUUGUAUGGUAUAUAUUAAUUUGUGUAUGUCUAUCAUCCAUUUCAUAUGAUAUGUUGCUAAUUAGCUAAAUGCUAAAGUUGUCUGUGAUAAGAUUCAAGCUCAACCUUUGGAUUACUGGAUUUUUGUAUUUUACUCCCCCCCCCCGUCCACCCCGACUAACCAUCUUACUUUCAUUUUUGCCUUAAGUAACCUUCUGUCUUAUGUAACCAUAUCAAACGUAACAUAUCAUACUAAUUUGAAUGUCCCGAAUUUACAUUUACUAUGUUGCGUCUAGUCUAUGAGACCAGGCUGCAAUAGCUUGAAAUUAUUGCUUGGUCAAUAGUUAUUUGUGUCUUUGUGAGGUUUUUUUCCUUAUUUUUGGGACUGCUGUUGAUUUAAUUCUGAG
ensembl:lncRNA